AUCUUGGACUGUAUUUUACUCAGCAGCAUCCUCAACAUUUACUCUGCCUAUGACAUCACCUGUGCCAAACUUCCAAGGCUGUUUGGGACAUACAGUUGCCGGUAGGACAUUUUGAAGACAAAAGGCUGUGCAAGUUUAACUUGGAGCAUGAACUGGUGACAGCAAUUUUGUUAUCCGGUAUUGGAGGAGUACUGCAAGGUACCCCAUACAAACAAAGCUUCAUGUGAGGUUUCUGUCCAGAACACUGAAUUGCAGUACAGAGCUGGUGCUUCUGUGGCUGGCAGGAACAUGGCAGUACCCAUGAGGACAGACACUGUCCUUCGGUGGAAAUAUGAGUGCAGGAACAUUAGACUUCUUCAGAGAUUCACCUAAGGACAACUGAAGUACAUGGGAGAGGUUGAAGACCAGGACUUUAAAAAUAUUUUGAGAUUUCAGGGAGAAGACAGUCAAGAGUGUAGA